rnacentral:lncRNA from 1 species
AGAUUAGUAAAAGCGUGGGAGGAAGAGGGUAGAAAGUUCAAAGUGGAAAGACGUGAAAAUGGGGCGGGGAGAUACAUCCUUUGUUCUGUUGUUGAUGUAGAGACUAAGAGAUUUUGCUUAGUUGUCCCCGAAAGUAAGGGUUUUCUAGGAGGUUGGGCCAUUUUCGCUGAGAAACUUCAGGAUUUAGGGGUAGUUACACAAGAGGAAGUAAAGUUUGAAGAAGCUCUAUGAGUUAAUUCAAAGUCGAAAGGGGUGAUAGUAGAAGGUAAAGAUGAAAGGUGCAUCGGAAAGAUGGAGGGUGAGAAGAAGUCCUUUGUGGAUGUGGCUAAGGAGCCGGCUGGAAGGCAAGGUGAUGAGGGUUGGGAAGGUGCCUUGUUGGAAGAUGGGAUGAUAGGUCAGUGGUGGAGACAGAGUUGCUUUCGGUUAGAAAAUGGGGGGAGCGCAGCUGGAAUAUAAAAAAUGGAAUGAAAGUGUUGAGCAUGGGAGGACCUUUCAUGUUGCUGGAGUUCGAAGAUGAAGAGGAGGCAGAGAGAGUACUAAAGAGGGGGACGCGACGAGAAAUGUCUGCUAAGAGAGGAGGCAGAUGUUGGUUUGCAGUAGAAUCAAAGUCUUAUGAAAUUACGGCGGAGGUGGCUGGGGAGAGACUUAAGGGUAUCAUUGUGGAAAGAAGCAGGGGAUUUACCUCAUGGAUUAGAUUUGGUUGUCUCAGUUUGUGUUGUUUAUUGGAAGGAGUGGAGGCUUGUUGCAGGGGUGUGUUUAUGCAAGGCUUUGUUAAAAGUUGGGAAGAUGGAGGAAGAAGGUAUACGUUGGAGAUCCGUGCAAACGAGGUUGGUAGGUAUAUUUUAUGCUCUGUGGUUGACUCGGAAUCAAAGAGAUUUUNNNNNNNNNNNNNNNNNNNNNNNNNNNNNNNNNNNNNNNNNNNNNNNNNNNNNNNNNNNNNNNNNNNNNNNNNNNNNNNNNNNNNNNNNNNNNNNNNNNNUGCGUGGGGUUCCUCGUAGUGGAGGAAGACACUGCAAAAUUUAAGGAAUUAAAAUGGGCCAGACUAUUAGUGAGAUCAGAAGGCUUAGAGUGGCCGAGCUCACUGCAAGUGGCAGUUGGGUUUGUCUGUUAUUCAAUACAGCUAUGGUGGGAGGUGAAACCAGGGUUGACGGCAGUGGUUCCGGUGACCAGAAACGAGAUGGGUAAAGAGCGGGAGGUUAAGGAUGAAGGAGAAGGAGACUCACGCGUUGGAUUCAAAAUGGCGAAUGUACGGAUGCAUGGAGAACUUGCAAAAGUGGACGUGCCAUGUGAAAAUGGUGAAGGGGGAUGCAGAAAGGCAGCUGCGUUCUCUGAAGCGAUGUCGAAAAAAGUAGCAGAUGGUGACGGGUCCACAGUUAGCCAGCAAAUAGCGUGGGGGAAGAAACCUAUUUGCGGGCCUGGGAAAUUCUUCUCGUUGGGCCGACAAAUGGAGGUGGACUUGGGGCGAAGGCCCGCGGAGGAGGGCCAAGUGACUGAAGGCCACAAAGAAUUAAUGGAAAUGGGCCGGCCCAAGUCUUUACCUUAUAAAGGCCCUGAGGUGGUGAUGGAACGAUCCAUUGAGGCUAGGGCUCCCGACAGGGGACUGGGCGUUAGUGGAGAGCUUGAGGGGGAAAUGAUAGGCUCUCAGAUGGGGUCGCGUUCACCGGUCGUCAAUCUCACAGUGUUCACCAACGAAGCCUUGCUGGAAGAGGCGUCCAGGUAUUCAGAUCAAUCUUCUCGUUCUUUGUUUUCUUUGGGGAAGCGGGAAAUAUCUCUUUCUUCUACUCCUUCUGGUCGAGAUGGGGAAAGUGUUGCCAUGGCUGGGGUCUUUAAUCAAAGCAGUAGCUCGGAUGAAGUUGGGGGAGCAGUUAUGGGUCCUUUAAGGAUGAUAUGGGCGGAUGGGAGGGAGGCCGAGGUAUUGGAAAUGGCGGGUAGGGAAGCAGGGGUUUUCAGAGAGAAAUCAGAGGGGGUUAUGGAUAGGAUCCUCCAUGAGGAUAUGGAGGAGAGGGAAGAAGAGGGGGAACCUUGUUGGCAAUCUAGUAGUUUGGCUAAGUUUAGCCGCUAUAUUGGAAUGCCGACGGAGGGCUUCGAAGGGGAAAUUUUGUUAUUACUGAAAAGAAUGAAAGAAAGGAAGAUUCAGAAAGGAAAAUUGGACGGCAGAAAAAGGAAAAAAUUGGAGUUGUCAAAAUUUGAAAGAGAAUUGAGGAAAUUGGAAUGGACAGUGAACUAUAUUGGAGAAGGAGGAGGAGGAGGAGAAGAAGGGGUAAGCACGUGCAGGUCUAAAUGAAAUUCCGUAUGCUCACUUGGAAUGUAAGAGGGGCCAACAAUUGUGACAAGAGGAAGGUUAUAAAAGCUUUGAUAAUGAAGCAUAAGGUGGAUCUGGUUUGCCUUCAGGAAACUAAGAUCCAAGACAUGUCAAAGGGUAUUAUUCUCAGCCUAGGGGUGGAAAGAUAUCUUGACUGGGGGGCAGUGGAUUCAAGAGGGGCAGCUGGUGGUAUAGUGGUGUUUUGGGACAACAGAGUGUUGGACUUGGUUGAUAUUCAAAAAGGUUUGUUCUCCAUUUCCUGUAUUUUUAAGAACUGCGAGGAUGACUUCAUGUGGAUGUUUACAGGGGUAUAUGGCCCAAUAUUGAGGAGAGAAAGAGAGAGUUUUUGGGAGGAGUUGGGGGCCAUUAAGGGGCUCUGGAAUGGGCCAUGGUGUGCUGCAGGGGAUUUUAAUGCCAUCCUAAGUUCUGAAGAGCGCAACAGAGGGGGGAGCCUGAAUUCAAACAUGAGAAGGUUCUUAGAAAUUAUAGAAGACUUAGAGUUAAAGGAUGUGCCCUUAGUCGGGGGCCCUUUUACUUGGAAUGGAGGGGUGAAUAAUCAGACCUUCUCAAGGCUGGAUAGGUUCUUGAUUAAUGAGGGUUGGGACAACCACUUUGGUGACGUGAGGCAGUGUGUCCUUCCAAGGCCAGUCUCCGAUCACUUCCCGAUUCUGCUGGAUGUAGGGGGUGUGAGAAGAGGUCCUUCCCCUUUUAGAUUUGAAAACAUGUGGUUGAAAGUGGAAGAUGUUAAGGAGCUUAUGAAGUCUUGGUGGGAGGGGGUUAGAUUCAAUGGAUCAGCAAGUUUUAUUUUGGCUGAAAAAAUAAAAGUUCUGAAGGCUAAGCUGAAGGAGUGGAAUAGAGACUCAUUUGGUAGGAUUGAGUUCAGAAAAAAUGCGGCGUUGGAGCAAGUGCAGUUUUGGGAUGCAAAGGAGAAAAUUAGCAGACUGAAUUUGGAAGAGCUAGAAGCUAGGAAAGAAGCGAGGGAAGAUUAUAAAAAAUGAGUCUUACUUGAAGAAAUCAAUUGGAGGCAAAAAUCUAGGGAAGUGUGGCUGAAAGAGGGGGACAGAAAUACGGGUUAUUUCCACAAGAUGGCCAACGCUCACAGGAGGAGGAAUAAUGUGGACAGAAUCAAGAUUAAUGGAGCUUGGUGCAUAGAGGAGAAUGGAAUUAGGGAAGGGAUUGUCAAUGCUUUUAAGUUACUGCUGUCCAGUUCGGGGGAUUGGCGUCCUUCUAUAUCCGGGCUGCAGUUAGAGACUUUGGACCAAUUGGAUGCUAGUACUUUGGAGAGCCCGUUCACGGAAGAGGAGGUGUUCAAUGCCUUGUUGAGUUGCAAUGGGGAUAAAGCUCCGGGGCCAGAUGGAUUCUCUAUGGCUUUCUGGAAAUUUGCUUGGGAUUUCGUGAAGGCGGAUGUGUUGUGUUUUUUCAAGGAGUUCUAUGAAAAUGAAAAAUUUGUUAAAAACCUAAAUGCAACUUUUGGUCUUAAUUCCAAAAAAAGUGGGAGCUGAAGACUUGGGGGAUUUUAGGCCUAUAAGCUUGGUGGGAAGCUUGUAUAAGUGGUUGGCCAAGGUCUUAGCCAAUAGGCUAAAAAAGGUGGUUGGAAAGGUGAUCUCCAAGGCUCAAGGGGCGUUUGUGGAAGGAAGACAAAUCCUAGAUGUAGUGUUGAUAGCCAAUGAAGCCAUUGAUUCGACUCUGAAAAAUAAUGAGAGUGCCAUCUUGUGCAAAUUGGAUAUAGAGAAGGCCUAUGAUAAUGUGGACUGGACUUUUAUUCUCACAGUUAUACAGAAAAUGGGUUUUGGGGAGAAAUGGAUCAGGUGGAUUAAAUGGUGCAUCUCCACUGCAAGUUUUUCUGUGUUGAUCAAUGGAACCCCUACAGGUUUUUUCCAAAGCUCAAAGGGAUUGAGGCAGGGUGAUCCCCUUUCCCCUUAUCUCUUUGUUAUAGCAAUGAAGGUUUUUAGCGCUUUUCUCAAAAGGGCUGUAGAGGGAGGCUAUUUAUCGGGGUGUAGGGUCAAGGGGAGGAGUGAAGAAGUGGUCUUUAUAUCCCAUUUGUUGUUCGCCGAUGAUACUCUGGUGUUUUGUAAUCCGUCUCAAGACCACUUGACUUAUCUUAGUUGGUUACUUAUGUGGUUCGAGGCCGCUUCGGGAUUGAGAAUAAAUUUGGAAAAAAGUGAACUCAUUCCUGUAGGAAGGGGAGAGAAUAUGGAUGACCUUGCUUGGGAGUUUGGUUGCAAAGUGGGUAGCUUGUCGUCCACAUAUUUGGGGAUGCCCUUGGGGGCUUCUUUCAAAUCAACAUCAGUUUGGGAUGGAGUGGAAGAACGUUUCCGUAAAAGGCUAGGUAUGUGGAAGAGACAAUACUUAUCCAAGGGAGAGAUGAUGACUUUAAUUCGAAGCACGUUAUCGAAUUUACCAAUCUAUCUUAUGUCUUUGUUGUGCUUACCGAGUGUAGUCAGACGGAGAUUAGAAAAGAUUCAAAGGGACUUCCUUUGGGGUGGGGGUAAUUUGGAGCGAAAGCCUCAUCUAGUAAGAUGGGAGGUGGUGUGCUUAAGUAAGAAGAAAGGGGGCUUAGGGGUAAAAAACCUUUCUAUUCUCAACAAGGCUCUUCUUGCUAAAUGGAAUUGGCGUUUUGCUAAUGAGAGAGAGGCUUUAUGGAAUCAAGUGAUUAGAGGGAAAUAUGGAGAAGAGAGAGAGGGUUGGUCCUCUCGGGAAGUGAGAGAGGCUCAUGGCUUGGGGUUGUGGAAAGGGAUAAGGAUGAAUUGGGAAUUAGUGAGCAAUAGGUUGGUCUUCAUUGUUGGUAAUGGGAGGAGGGUGAGUUUUUGGAGGGAUAAGUGGUGUGGGGAUUCUCCUUUGUGUUCGUCCUUCCCGUCUCUAUUUGCUUUGACUGUUGAUAAGGAAGCAAGUGUGGCAGAUGUUUGGGACUCCUUGGCGGAGGGGGGAUGGGGGGGUUGGAAUCCAUGCUUUUUAAGAGCUUUCAAUGAUUGGGAGGUAGAGGAAGCGACAAGUUUUAUGGAGCGGUUACAUCGUAACAGAGUUAUUGAGGAUGUGGAGGACAUGGUAUCCUGGAAUGAAACUAAGAGUGGUAAAUUCUCGGUUAAAUCUCUAUACUUGGCCCUUGAAGCGGGGUGUUCGACUCGGUUUCCUUCAAGCCUUAUUUGGAAUGAGAAUGUGCAGCCCAAGAUUAGUUUUUUUGCAUGAGAGGCUACGUGGGGCAAAGCACUAACCUUGGACAUGGUGCAGAAAAGAGGAUGGGCUUUGGCAAAUAGAUGUUUUUUGUGUAUUGAGAAUGAGGAGACCAUAGACCAUCUCCUCCUUCAUUGUUCAAGAACAAAGGUUUUAUGGGAUCUUCUUUUUACUUUAUUUGGGGUAUCUUGGGUGUUGCCUUCUUCUGUUAAAGAAACCCUUCUAAGCUGGCAUGGUUCUUUUGUGGGCAAAAAGCGUAAGAAGGUGUGGAGAGCGGCUCCUCUGCACAUUUUUUGGACGGUUUGGAAGGCGAGGAAUUGUUUGGCUUUCAAGGAUGAUAUGUUGUCAAUUCAAAGAUUGAAAUACUCUUUUAUUCUUUCUUUUUGGGCUGAAACAAAAUUGUUCAUAGUUGAUUGCCCUCUAACUAUAGCUAGUUUUAUCGAUUGGAUGAGCUCUAAUUAGGGUUGUAUUUUGGGGCUUUUUGUUUUAUUUAGCGUUUUCUUGAAGGUGGGUGUAUAGGUUUGUGUAACUUGAGCCGCCUUUUUGGCGUCUCUUUUUUUUUUUUUAAUAGAAUCUCUUUUACCUAUUAAAAAAAAAAAGAAAAAAAAAAGGGGGACAAGAUGAUUUAAAGACAAAGUGUUGCAAUUAGAGAGAUGGAGCGAGGAGGCAGGUUGCUUGAAGGUAGGAAACCAAGCAAAAAAAGUUUGGGUAAGAGUGGUGGGACUCCCACUUCAUUGUUGGAGUGUGGAAAUGUUUAAGAGAAUUGGAGACUGUUGUGGAGGCCAUGUUCAGGUGGAUGGAGUAACAAAGAAUUGUUCUUAGUUCCAGUGGGCUAGAAUUUUGGUGAAGAACAGGGGGAAUUUUUUUCCGGGAACUUUGCAUUUAGUGGUUGAUGCUUAUUGCUAUGAAUUACAGCUGUGGUGGGAGAGGCUGCCAUGGAUAUCUGAAGUGGUGCUGAUGAAGAAGCUGAAAGGGGGUGAGGGGGAAAAGGCUAGGGAAGAAUGGGAUGUGGACUCACACGCGGGGAGUAGCAGUAGCAAAGGAAAGGAGAGGUGGCGUGCAGCAAAGGCUGUUGGGGCAGAUUCAAUCAGAAAGGAUGGAGGGAAAGAAAAGCAUGAUGGAGACGACACGUUUGGUGCAGUUGAAGCUUUUUCAGCUUUUGGGAAGAAGGCUGGAGGUAAAGGGAGUGGAGAGGUGGGCUUGAGUGGGGGGGAUGAUAGGCUUGAUCGUGGCAAGCUCGCUCAUCAAGGUUCUCAAGCCCAUCUGGAUUGGGCCUUAAAAGAAAGGGGGACUUUCAGUGGGCCAAGGGACUGCUGGGAAGAGGGGCAGUCCAGUAGAGGGUUGGGGCGGGCCUAUUGCGAUGGCCCUUCAAGCCCUCUUUGGGUCGGGCCGGAUGGUGUAGAUUGCAGGCCCAGUUUGGGUUUGAAAGAAGGAAAGUCCACUGCAGAAGCUUCAUGGGCUUUCUCUCCUUUUAGGCCCACAAAGGACAAACCUUUAAAAGAAGCUAGGGUUUCUUUCGGUCGGUCGCGAGCAGAGAGGUGGUUUGAAGAAGAGCUCUUGGCCGGCGGGAUGGUCUCAGUAGCGGAGAGAGGGGAGAAAGAAAG